CACCGGAAGAGGAAGAUGGCGGCCACCUUGGUAGCUGCUUGGGGAGUGGGGCCGGCACCGGCCUGGGGGCCGGAGGCCAUCACUCCAGACUGGGAAAAUGCUGAAGUUUCCACGGGGACCACUAUCAUGGCCGUCCAAUUUGAAGGGGCGCGGUAUUGGGGGCGGAUAACAACCGCUCCAUAACAACCACUGGGUCAUACAUCGCCAAUCGAGUGACUGACAAGCUGACUCCUAUUCAUGAUGGAAUUUUCUGCUGCCGCUCAGGCUCAGCAGCUGAUACCCAAGCUGUAGCUGAUGCUGUCACUUACCAGCUUGGCUUCCACAGCACUGAACUGAAUGAGCCUCCACUGGUGCACACAGCAGCCAGCCUCUUGAAAGAGAUGUGUUACAGGUACCGGGAAGACCUGAUGGCGGGAAUUAUUGUUGCUGGCUGGGAUCCUCAAGAAGGAGGGCAGGGGUAUCCAGUGCCCAUGGUGGGUAUGACGGUACAGCAGUCCUUUGCCAUCGGAGGCUCUGUGAGCUCCUGUAUCUAUGGCUAUGUCGAUGCUACCUACCGGGAAGGCAGGACCAAGGAAGAGUGUCAGCAACUCACUGCCAAUGCUCUGGCUUUGGCCAUGGAGCGGAUGGCUCCAGUGGAGGGGUGAUCCGCCUGGCAGCCAUUGCAGAGCCAGGGGUAGAGCGGCAGGCACUUUUGGGAGACCAGAUACCCAAAUUCACCAUUGCCACUUUACCACCCCCUUGAAUCCUGGGAUUGUAGAAUGCAGUAAGAGAUACCCCAUUACCAAUACAAGAUUUAAUAAAGUUUGUCAAAAAGAAAAAA